rnacentral:rRNA from 1 species
AGACAUGCAAGUCGUACGAGAAAGUCUCUUCGGAGAUGAGUAAAGUGGCGCACGGGUGAGUAACGCGUGGGUAAUCUGCCCUUAGGUUUGGGAUAACCCCGGGAAACCGGAGCUAAUACCGAAUGAGACCACGAUGACUUCGGUCGACGUGGGAAAAGGUGGCCUCUUCUUGAAAGCUAUCGCCGAAGGAUGAGCCCGCGUUUGAUUAGCUAGUUGGUGAGGUAAUGGCUCACCAAGGCGACGAUCAAUAGCUGGUCUGAGAGGAUGAUCAGCCACACUGGAACUGAGACACGGUCCAGACUCCUACGGGAGGCAGCAGUCAGGAAUAUUGGGCAAUGGGCGAAAGCCUGACCCAGCAACGCCGCGUGAAGGAUGAAGGCCUUCGGGUCGUAAACUUCUGUCGAGAGGGAAGAAUGUGUGCGGGUGAAUAAUCCGCGCAUUUGACGGUACCUCCAAAGGAAGCACCGGCUAACUCCGUGCCAGCAGCCGCGGUAAUACGGAGGGUGCAAGCGUUGUUCGGAUUCAUUGGGCGUAAAGCGAGUGUAGGCGGUUUGACAAGUCGGAUGUGAAAUCCCGGGGCCCAACCCCGGAACUGCAUCCGAUACUGUCUGGCUAGAGUCCCGGAGAGGGUGGCGGAAUUCCCGGUGUAGGGGUGAAAUCCGUAGAUAUCGGGAGGAACACCAGUGGCGAAGGCGGCCACCUGGACGGUGACUGACGCUGAGACUCGAAAGCGUGGGUAGCAAACAGGAUUAGAUACCUGGUAGUCCACGCUGUAAACGGUGAGUGCUCGUCGUCGUGGGUAUUGACCCCUGCGGUGACCAAGUUAACACAUGAAGCACUCCGCCUGGGAAGUACGGUCGCAAGACUAAAACUCAAAGAAAUUGACGGGGGCCCGCACAAGCGGUGGAGCAUGUUGUUUAAUUCGAAGCAACGCGCAGAACCUUACCUGGAUUUGACAUCUCU